AGGCUUUGGCUCUUCCACACCUUGGGGAAACUCUUCGGGGCGGCGUCUCAGAAUUCCAUCCUGGGACUAUUACACACAGAAUUUCCUUAGGAGCUGUGACUGGGCCCUAUGAUGAUACACCAACAUCUUGUGCUACCAACUGUCAAAACUUUGGAUGGUCUAACACUCAGGUCAUGACCCUUGUAACUAAGAAUUCUUGAAGACAAUGUUGAACAUGAUCCAGGAGAAAAUGUGAUUCGAGUCUGGAGACAAUUGUGCAUGUAUACUUUUCUUAAGACCUUAAAAAACAAGUCCAGGGUAGCUGAUUGAUAGAAGAAAAGCAGUAUUCUGAAGGCUGCUUAUGAUUGACAAGAGCAGCCACAGCUAGCGAGGUGAGUUAAUGGGGUUGAACGGUGGAGAAAAUCCAGUCUAACAACCAAUGAAAUGU